GGUUAAGCGACUAAGCGUACACGGUGGAUGCCCUGGCAGUCAGAGGCGAUGAAGGACGUGCUAAUCUGCGAAAAGCGUCGGUAAGGUGAUAUGAACCGUUAUAACCGGCGAUGUCCGAAUGGGGAAACCCAGUGCAAUUCGUUGCACUAUCGUUAACUGAAUACAUAGGUUAACGAGGCGAACCGGGGGAACUGAAACAUCUAAGUACCCCGAGGAAAAGAAAUCAACCGAGAUUCCCCCAGUAGCGGCGAGCGAACGGGGAGCAGCCCAGAGUCUGAAUCAGCUUGUGUGUUAGUGGAACGGUCUGGAAAGUCCGACGGUACAGGGUGAUAGUCCCGUACACCAAAAUGCACAGGCUGUGAACUCGAAGAGUAGGGCGGGACACGUGGUAUCCUGUCUGAAUAUGGGGGGACCAUCCUCCAAGGCUAAAUACUCCUGACUGACCGAUAGUGAACCAGUACCGUGAGGGAAAGGCGAAAAGAACCCCGGCGAGGGGAGUGAAAAAGAACCUGAAACCGUGUACGUACAAGCAGUGGGAGCACCUUCGGGUGUGACUGCGUACCUUUUGUAUAAUGGGUCAGCGACUUAUAUUCUGUAGCAAGGUUAACCGUAUAGGGGAGCCGCAGGGAAACCGAGUCUUAACUGGGCGUUAAGUUGCAGGGUAUAGACCCGAAACCCGGUGAUCUAGCCAUGGGCAGGUUGAAGGUUGGGUAACACUAACUGGAGGACCGAACCGACUAAUGUUGAAAAAUUAGCGGAUGACUUGUGGCUGGGGGUGAAAGGCCAAUCAAACCGGGAGAUAGCUGGUUCUCCCCGAAAGCUAUUUAGGUAGCGCCUCGUGAACUCAUCUUCGGGGGUAGAGCACUGUUUCGGCUAGGGGGUCAUCCCGACUUACCAACCCGAUGCAAACUACGAAUACCGAAGAAUGUUAUCACGGGAGACACACGGCGGGUGCUAACGUCCGUCGUGAAGAGGGAAACAACCCAGACCGCCAGCUAAGGUCCCAAAGUCAUGGUUAAGUGGGAAACGAUGUGGGAAGGCACAGACAGCCAGGAUGUUGGCUUAGAAGCAGCCAUCAUUUAAAGAAAGCGUAAUAGCUCACUGGUCGAGUCGGCCUGCGCGGAAGAUGUAACGGGGCUAAACCAUGCACCGAAGCUGCGGCAGCGACACUAUGUGUUGUUGGGUAGGGGAGCGUUCUGUAAGCCUGCGAAGGUGACCUGUGAGGGUUGCUGGAGGUAUCAGAAGUGCGAAUGCUGACAUAAGUAACGAUAAAGCGGGUGAAAAGCCCGCUCGCCGGAAGACCAAGGGUUCCUGUCCAACGUUAAUCGGGGCAGGGUGAGUCGACCCCUAAGGCGAGGCCGAAAGGCGUAGUCGAUGGGAAACAGGUUAAUAUUCCUGUACUUGGUGUUACUGCGAAGGGGGGACGGAGAAGGCUAUGUUAGCCGGGCGACGGUUGUCCCGGUUUAAGCAUGUAGGCUGGUUGUCCAGGCAAAUCCGGAUAAUCAAGGCUGAGGUGUGAUGACGAGGCACUACGGUGCUGAAGUAACAAAUGCCCUGCUUCCAGGAAAAGCCUCUAAGCAUCAGGUAACAUCAAAUCGUACCCCAAACCGACACAGGUGGUCAGGUAGAGAAUACCAAGGCGCUUGAGAGAACUCGGGUGAAGGAACUAGGCAAAAUGGUGCCGUAACUUCGGGAGAAGGCACGCUGGUGUGUAGGUGAAGUCCCUGCGGAUGGAGCUGAGACCAGUCGAAGAUACCAGCUGGCUGCAACUGUUUAUUAAAAACACAGCACUGUGCAAACACGAAAGUGGACGUAUACGGUGUGACGCCUGCCCGGUGCCGGAAGGUUAAUUGAUGGGGUUAUCCGUAAGGAGAAGCUCUUGAUCGAAGCCCCGGUAAACGGCGGCCGUAACUAUAACGGUCCUAAGGUAGCGAAAUUCCUUGUCGGGUAAGUUCCGACCUGCACGAAUGGCGUAAUGAUGGCCAGGCUGUCUCCACCCGAGACUCAGUGAAAUUGAACUCGCUGUGAAGAUGCAGUGUACCCGCGGCAAGACGGAAAGACCCCGUGAACCUUUACUAUAGCUUGACACUGAACAUUGAGCCUUGAUGUGUAGGAUAGGUGGGAGGCUUUGAAGCGUGGACGCCAGUCUGCGUGGAGCCAACCUUGAAAUACCACCCUUUAAUGUUUGAUGUUCUAACGUUGGCCCCUUACCGGGGUUGCGGACAGUGUCUGGUGGGUAGUUUGACUGGGGCGGUCUCCUCCCAAAGCGUAACGGAGGAGCACGAAGGUUAGCUAAUCCUGGUCGGACAUCAGGAGGUUAGUGCAAUGGCAUAAGCUAGCUUGACUGCGAGCGUGACGGCGCGAGCAGGUGCGAAAGCAGGUCAUAGUGAUCCGGUGGUUCUGAAUGGAAGGGCCAUCGCUCAACGGAUAAAAGGUACUCCGGGGAUAACAGGCUGAUACCGCCCAAGAGUUCAUAUCGACGGCGGUGUUUGGCACCUCGAUGUCGGCUCAUCACAUCCUGGGGCUGAAGUAGGUCCCAAGGGUAUGGCUGUUCGCCAUUUAAAGUGGUACGCGAGCUGGGUUUAGAACGUCGUGAGACAGUUCGGUCCCUAUCUGCCGUGGGCGCUGGAGAAUUGAGGGGGGCUGCUCCUAGUACGAGAGGACCGGAGUGGACGCAUCACUGGUGUUCGGGUUGUCAUGCCAAUGGCACUGCCCGGUAGCUAAAUGCGGAAGAGAUAAGUGCUGAAAGCAUCUAAGCACGAAACUUGCCCCGAGAUGAGUUCUCCCUGAGACUUUAAGUCUCCUGAAGGAACGUUAAAGACGAUGACGUUGAUAGGCCGGGUGUGUAAGCGCAGCGAUGCGUUGAGCUAACCGGUACUAAUGAACCGUGAGGCUUAACCUU
rnacentral:rRNA from 2 species